AAGUCGUAACAAGGUUUCCGUAUGUGAACCUGCGGAAGGAUCAUUAACACGUUUCCAUAACUAUCAACCAAAUCUGUGAACACGUAUGUGUGUGUAUGUGUGUGUUUGGCUUCUUGGCUGCUUUUGUGUAAAUAACAGCGGUAAAGAUGUCAAAGACACAUAUACACUCCGUCUAUUGGAAGGCUUACUUUCUCUGGGAAGACAUCCUUCCUCUAGGCAAUCCCUUUUUUUUUCUCACGCCUAGAGAGUACUCCUUCGAGGAAAUCUAUAUAGUGACAUUUGAAUCAAUUCCUAGUUUAGUGUAAUGCUGAACUACUUACAUUAUGGUCAUUAUCAUAAUUGUAUGAAUGAAUAAGAGAA
rnacentral:misc_RNA from 1 species